rnacentral:rRNA from 1 species
UUAAGCUAUAAAGAGCACAGGGUGGAUGCCUAGGCACUGAGAGCCGAUGAAGGACGUGAUAAGCUGCGAAAAGCCACGGGGAGGAGCAAAUAUCCCCUGAUCCGUGGAUCUCCGAAUGGGGCAACCCGUCGGGAGCGAUCCCGACAUCCAGGACACCUGGAGGCGAACGCGGGGAACUGAAACAUCUAAGUACCCGCAGGAAAAGAAAAUAACAAUGAUUCCGCCAGUAGUGGCGAGCGAACGCGGAACAGCCCAAACCACUCGUGUUACGGCACGAGUGGGGUAGAAGGAUCCACGAUACGGCAAGAAAUAAGUUAGCAGAAUACGAUGGAAAUCGUAGCCAAAGACGGUGACAGCCCAGUACGCGAAAACCGACAGAAGCCCAGUGGACACCUGAGUAACCCAGGACACGAGAAAUCCGGGGCGAAUCAGCGGGGCCCAUCCCGUAAGGCUAAAUACUCCCGAGAGACCGAUAGCGAACCAGUACUGUGAAGGAAAGGUGAAAAGAACCUCGAACAGAGGAGUGAAACAGACCCUGAAACCAUGCGCCUACAAGCGGUCGGAGCAUGUUAAAAUGUGACGGCGUGCCUUUUGCAUAAUGAACCUACGAGUUACUCUCGCUGGCAAGGUUAAGCGAUUCAGUCGCGCAGCCGAAGCGAAAGCAAGUCCGAACAAGGCGUACAGUCAGCGGGAGUAGACGCGAAACCAAGUGAUCUACCCUUGGUCAGGUUGAAGGUUGGGUAACACCAACUGGAGGACCGAACCCACUCCCGUUGAAAAGGUAGGGGAUGAAUUGUGGCUAGGGGUGAAAGGCCAAUCAAACUCGGAAAUAGCUGGUUCUCCGCGAAAACUAUUUAGGUAGUGCGGUGAGCGGACACCUUGAGGGGUAGAGCACUGGAAGAGCUAAGGGGGAGCGAUCCUUACUAAACUUUACCAAACUCCGAAUACUCAAGAGUGAUACUCACCAGACAGACAUUAGGUGCUAAGGUCUAGUGUCGAGAGGGAAAGAGCCCAGACCGCCAAUUAAGGUCCCAAAAUUAUGGCUAAGUGGUAAAGGAAGUGAAACGUCCAAAACAGUCAGGAGGUUGGCUUAGAAGCAGCCAUCCUUUAAAGAAAGCGUAAUAGCUCACUGAUCUAAACAAGACGUCUUGCGCCGAAGAUGUAACGGGGCUAAAGCCAUAUACCGAAGUUGCGGAUUUACACGUUAAAGUGUAAGUGGUAGCGGAGCGUUCUGUAAGCCUGCGAAGGUGUACCGUAAGGUAUGCUGGAGGUAUCAGAAGUGAGAAUGCUGACAUGAGUAGCGAAAAGAAGAGUGAGAGACUCUUCCGCUGAAAGUCCAAGGUUUCCUGCGUAAAGCUAAUCUGCGCAGGGUUAGUCGGUCCCUAAGGCGAGGCAGAGAUGCGUAGUCGAUGGCAAUCAGGUUAAUAUUCCUGAACCGGCCCGGAAGUGACGGAUUGAGUAAAUUGUAAGUUCUUAUUGGAUUGAACUUGCAGUGAAUCAGUCCCAGGAAAUAGCCCGGGCUAAGACCGUACCCGAAACCGACACAGGUGGACAGGUAGAGAAUACCAAAGCGCUUGAGAGAACUAUGUUGAAGGAACUAGGCAAAAUACUUGCGUAACUUCGGGAUAAGCAAGCCCCAUUUUAAGGCAACUUAGGGUGGGGGGCACAUACUAGGGGGUAGCGACUGUUUACUAAAAACACAGGGCUCUGCUAAAUUGAAAGAUGAAGUAUAGGGUCUGACGCCUGCCCGGUGCUGGAAGGUUAAGGAGAGAUGUGCAAGCAUUGAACUGAAGCCCCAGUAAACGGCGGCCGUAACUAUAACGGUCCUAAGGUAGCGAAAUUCCUUGUCGGGUAAGUUCCGACCUGCACGAAUGGCGUAACGACUUCCCCGCUGUCUCCAACAUAGGCUCAGCGAAAUUGAACUCUGAGUUAAGAUGCUCAGUACCCGCGGUUAGACGGAAAGACCCCGUGAACCUUUACUAUAGCUUUGCAGUGGUAUUAGGUAACAAAUGUGUAGAAUAGGUGGGAUGCUAUGAAGCUACGACGCCAGUUGUAGUGGAGCAGACUUUGAAAUACCACCCUUUUGUUGUUUGAUAUCUAACCUGCUCCCGUUAUCCGGGAGAGGGACCCUGCAUGGUGGGUAGUUUGACUGGGGCGGUCGCCUCCCAAAGAGUAACGGAGGCGCGCAAAGGUUGGCUCAGAUUGGUCAGAAAUCAAUCGUCGAGUGCAAUGGCAUAAGCCAGCCUGACUGCGAGAGAGACAUUUCGAGCAGAUACGAAAGUAGGUCAUAGUGAUCCGGUGGUCCCGAGUGGAAGGGCCAUCGCUCAACGGAUAAAAGGUACUCCGGGG